rnacentral:rRNA from 1 species
CCUACGGGUGGCUGCAGUGGGGAAUAUUGGACAAUGGGCGCAAGCCUGAUCCAGCAAUACCGCGUGUGUGAAGAAGGCCUUAGGGUUGUAAAGCACUUUCAAUGGGGAGGAAAACCUACCGGUCAAUACCCGGUAGCUUGACAUUACCUGUAGAAGAAGCACCGGCUAACUCCGUGCCAGCAGCCGCGGUAAUACGGAGGCGGCAAGCGUUAAUCGGAAUUACUCGUAGGAAAUUCGUCAAGGGCGAUUCGAAAGCCCCGGGCUUAACCUGGGAACUGCAUUUGAAACUGGCGGACUAGAGUUGAGUAGAGGGGAGUGGAAUUUCAGGUGUAGCGGUGAAAUGCGUAGAUAUCUGAAGGAACACCAGUGGCGAAGGCGACUCCCUGGACUCAAACUGACGCUGAGGUACGAAAGCGUGGGUAGCAAACAGGAUUAGAUACCCUUGUAGUC